rnacentral:snoRNA from 1 species
GUUGCUCCUCGAGGCGUUGCAGCACAGCUGAAUUUGCCGUUUCUGUGUCAUGAGGAAGCAAAGAGCAACAGGGCACUAGAAACUACACUUUGUACCCAUAAU